rnacentral:rRNA from 1 species
AUUGAACGCUGGCGGCAUGCCUUACACAUGCAAGUCGAACGGCAGCACGGGAGCAAUCCUGGUGGCGAGUGGCGAACGGGUGAGUAAAGUAUCGGAACGUACCUUUCAGUGGGGGAUAACGUAGCGAAAGUUACGCUAAUACCGCAUAUUCUGUGAGCAGGAAAGCAGGGGAUCGCAAGACCUUGCGCUGAUUGAGCGGCCGAUAUCAGAUUAGCUAGUUGGUGGGGUAAAGGCCUACCAAGGCGACGAUCUGUAGCGGGUCUGAGAGGAUGAUCCGCCACACUGGAACUGAGACACGGUCCAGACUCCUACGGGAGGCAGCAGUGGGGAAUUUUGGACAAUGGGGGCAACCCUGAUCCAGCCAUGCCGCGUGAGUGAAGAAGGCCUCGGGUUGUAAAGACUCUUCGGUCCGGGACGGAAAUACGCACGGGCGUAAUAUCCUGUGUGGAUGACGGUACCGGAAUAAGAAGCACCGGCGUAACUACGUGCCAGCAGCCGCGGU